rnacentral:lncRNA from 1 species
AAAUAUGGGGUUACAUCGUGUAAAAUAUCAAGGGAACAUGUUGUAGUGCAAUCAAGAUAUUGAAGUUGAAGAUCCAUUAUAACUUUCUUUUCAUUUUUGCCAAAGGGGGGAGUAAGAUUUAAGGGGAGUAGUGCAAAAAUGUUUUGGUUUUGUUCUCAACUUAUCUUGGUAUUAGUUUAAUGUUUUUAGGGGGAGUUAUGUUUUUUCUUUUUCUUUUUUUUUUAUUUUGGAACUUUAUGUUUUGAACUUUAUACUUCAUCAUUGAUUUUUAAGUUUUGUAAGAGAGAUCUGCAAUGUGAAAUUGUUUAUUCUAAUCUCUCAAUUUUCUAU